GCCCGAGCACUGCGCCUUUGUCCCGAGCGAAGCGGCCGCAGUUCCUCUAUCCUCUCCUUCUCACGAGCCGAUCCGCCGCCGCCGCCGCCGUUGCCCCACCCUCGCUCGCCGCUGCGGAUCCACUGCCGCCCCCGCUCCAUCUCGUCGCCCCACCCUUCCCCCUCGGCACGCCGCUGCCCCCGUCUUCGCGACGGCCCGCCCAAGCUAACGAGGCUAACACGCCACUGCUCCAGCACGGCCUGACCUGGCAGGGGGAGCGCGACGGUGGUGGUGGCGAGGAGGCGGAGGAAGCAGUCGUCGUCGGUGUGGUGCCUGAUGGGGGAGGGGAGUGUCGCACAGCCAGCCUCGCGCCGGUACCUGCUCUGGGAAGAGCAUGCGGGGUGCUGGAGCAGUGGUCGUCGCGUCCCCGGGUGCCCGCUGCCCUACCCGCGCACAUGGUCGCCGUCGGCUCCCAGCCCCCCAGCGCUGGUCUCUGGUAGUCAACAUCGUUGACAGAGUAGGAGUACAUGCGGAGGUCGGGGAGAAGCAUGGUCUUGCAGGCCAGGGUCUUAGUUGGCGUGCGUGUGCUCUCCUAUCACCGCUGCCAGGCCACUGUAGGGGCUUCGCUUCGAGGGUGGGGGACACGGCUGCAUCAUGUAGGUGGGGGAGAAGACGACCAUGAGCACGGGCGUCCUCUGCGUGGUGGUAGUCAUGAGCCGUGCAACAUCAAGACUGGGUGGAGCACGGGUGACCGUUGUGGCUGGGAGCUGAGCUUCUCAUCCUCGAUCUGGAGAAAAUUAUAGUGACUCAUGACGAAACAUAGCAGCGUAGGAGCCAGCAAUGGAGCAAGCGAGGCAGAGGCUACAACAGAGCUCCUAGCCGAAGCUCAUCCAGGAGCGACACCACUAGCUGCUCGAACAAAUCAAACGAGGGUGCACCGGCCUCCAGCACGAAGCCUGCGAUUUGAGGCAGUCCUUUGCACUCCACCUCAUGCCCGUGCAUUGUUGGUACGCGUAUUUGAGCUCGAGUGUAUGCGCACCUCUGCAACCCCGUAACUAGAGACCGAAAUCAAGGGAUUUGAUUGGUGAGUGAUGGAAAAAAGGAGAGGAAUAGCAGCAGGAAUAGAAGGAUUUCGGUUCCAGUAGCAAAAGUCAAUCCUUAAUCAUCAUAGAGAGCAAGCUGGACAAGGAGGCAGGAAGCAUAGGAGUUGGGGAAGAGAGAUCCAUGUGUUGGCGAGUGCUAGCUGGGUGUGUGACUCCUGUUUGAGAGAGAGGGAGGACCUUUGCUGGGCACUCAAAGGAUGUGCUCGGAUAUGGUGGUCCAACUGCAAGUUAUGUGUACAUCCUUCCAUUCAAGUAUGGAAACAGGCAAUUCCAGCCAUCAACAGUUGCCGCACCUGCCAACAUUAAAGAAAUUAUGUAGGCCUUAUGUAGUUGUAUUAGCUUUCUCUUGACAUACUUUAUAUAUGUUCAUGAUAAGUUGGGAUGGAGGAUUAUCAGUGUAAUAUGCACUUGCCUUUGUUAAAGCAAUUGGAUAUAGACCUGUCUGUGAGAUCUUUAGAGAUCAUUUAAGAACAUGUAUGUUUAAGCCUAUGAACAGAGACAAAGCCAAAUAUGUGCUGCAAAAUGUUCCAGUUUGCAGCCAAAUAUAUAUGCAAGAACUGUUACCUACGCUUGCCCAAAACCUAUUAUGAUAGUGUGCUAGCUACUUGUACUGUGUAGAUUCAUGGAAGAGCUUUGUGCUGAAAAUUAGGAGAAAGAGAAACAUAAGCGACAGUUCAGCAAGUUUUGUAAUAUGAGUUGUAAACGAGAAAAGACCCGUCUCGAGAAUUAUGACAGGCAUAUGCCGAAGGAAAGAGAGCCUAAAGGAAGGAAAAUAUGAGUUGUGAAAAUUUGACAUUGACUAAAUUCUCCAUGGCCAGAAAAAUUCAAUUAAAUCAACCCGUAGCAACGCACAGGCAUAUUUACUAGUCUAUCUAAAAUAUACACAUCAAGCUUUCAUAUAGUUUUAGAU